rnacentral:snoRNA from 1 species
UUAUCUUGCCCAUGUAAUUGUAACCCCUCUGUACAGUAUGUUCACAAUAAAAAAUUUUUAAAAAUCUCUUUUGCAACCCAGAACUCAUUGAUCAGUAUGAGUUUUGGUCUGUGUAAGAAGGAAUACG